GAUGAAGAACGUAGCGAAAUGCGAUAAGUAAUGUGAAUUGCAGAAUUCAGUGAAUCAUCGAAUCUUUGAACGCACCUUGCGCUCUUUGGUAUUCCGAAGAGCAUGCCUGUUUGAGUGUCAUGAAAAUAUCAACCUUGACUUGGGUUUUGUGCUCUAGUCUCGGCUUGGAAUUGGGUGCUUGCCGCUUUUACGAGCGGCUCACCUUAAAUGUAUUAGCUGGAUCUGUCUUUGAGACUUGGUUUGACUUGGCGUAAUAAGUAUUUCGCUAAGGACAUUCUUCGGAGUGGCCUCGUUUCUAGGACGCUUGUCCGCUUUCCAAUACAAGUUCCACCUCGUGGACAUGACUUUUUAUUAUCUGGCCUCAAAUCAGGUAGGACUACCCGCUGAACUUAAGCAUAUCAAUAAGGGAGGA
rnacentral:misc_RNA from 1 species